CACCGCUUUGCUGCUUCUCCUGCUGCUAUGGAGCGAUCCAUCCGCGAAUGCCCAGCAAGCCUACGUCGAAUCCGACCAAGAGGGCUAUAGCUGCGUCAGUAACUCCACUUCCUGCCAGGCCUACGCAGCGUACCGAGCUCUCCAGGGCGACACUCUCCAGUCGGUCGGCCUCCGCUUUCGAUUGAGCGUGGAGCAGCUCGCCGAGGCCUCGCAAAUCGCCCAGUCCGCGACGCUCGUCCCCGACCAGGUCCUCCUCAUCCCCUUGAACUGCUCCUGCGCCUCCGGACGCUCCCAGUUCAACGCCACCUACAUCAUCCAGUCAGGAGAUACGCUCUAUCUCGUCUCCAACGGGACCUUCCAAGGAUUGACGACGUACCAGGCGGUGGAGCGCGCAAACCCACUGGCGGUUCCCACGAACUUGCAGCCUGGCGAUUCGAUAGUCUUCCCCAUCCGCUGCGCAUGCCCGAGCUCCGCACAAGUCGCCGCGGGGGUGACGUCGCUGGUGACUUACAGCAUCUGGCCGGGGGAGAUCUUGGACGGGAUCGCCAGGGCCUGGAACGUUUCACGGACUCGGCUAGCUUCCGAUAAUACGGUGUCCGGGAGUGCUGUCCAGGACUCCAACUUGCAAGCCUUCACGACACUGCUGCUUCCGGCGAGCCAAGACCCGCCACCGCUGCCUCGCCAGACGCUUUCGCCGGCGGCUCCGCCUCCCGCGAAUAAUCCCCCAAAUAAUUCUCCUUCUCCGGACUCUUCGUCGUCUUCCGGCAGCAACACUGGGAUGUACGUUGGCAUUGCAGUGGCCUGCGUAGCGGCGGUUCUUCUCGUCGUCGUGGCGCUCGUCAUCUUCUACAGGCGGAGGUCGAGAAAGGUGACGAAGGCGUCCUUGCAGAAGUCCAGCUAUGGCCACGGCGGCAGCAAGGAUGACCGCAACUUUGGCGCGUUUGGGAGCUCCGUGAGCA
rnacentral:lncRNA from 1 species